rnacentral:lncRNA from 1 species
GGUUCCUCUGGUCUACCCAGUACAGCCAGUAGAGGACUGGCCACCCCUCAGAGCCUGGUUCCUCUCUACCCAGUACAGCCAGUAGAGGACUGGUCACCCCUCAGAGCCUGGUUCCUCUCUACCCAGUACAGCCAGUAGAGGACUGGUCACCCCUCAGAGCCUGGUUCCUCUGGUCUACCCAGUACAGCCAGUAGAGGACUGGUCACCCCUCAGAGCCUGGUUCCUCUGGUCUACCCAGUACAGCCAGUAGAGGACUGGUCACCCCUCAGAGCCUGGUUCCUCUGGUCUACCCAGUACAGCCAGUAGAGGUCUGGUCACCCCUCAGAGCCUGGUUCCUCUCUACCCAGUACAGCCAGUAGAGGACUGGCCACCCCUCAGAGCCCGGUUCCUCUCUACCCAGUACAGCCAGUAGAGGACUGGUCACCCCUCAGAGCCUGGUUCCUCUCUACCCAGUACAGCCAGUAGAGGACUGGCCACCCCUCAGAGCCUGGUUCCUCUGGUCUACCCAGUACAGCCAGUAGAGGACUGGUCACCCCUCAGAGCCUGGUUCCUCUGGUCUACCCAGUACAGCCAGUAGAGGACUGGCCACCCCUCAGAGCCUGGUUCCUCU